rnacentral:misc_RNA from 1 species
UCAUAAAUGCUGGGAUCGAAAUUGGUCACAGCCUCUUUGCCGUUGCACUUGAUAGCAGCCUUAUCAUACGCCCUUGCAGCUUCAAUCUCAGUAUCAAACAAGCCCAAAUACACAUACUUUUUGCCUAAAAAUUGACCCAUUCUAGCUUCCCAUCUUCCACACUUGUGCAAGGUCACACCCCUAUAUUUGGAGCUUCCUCUGGGAAAACCGGUGCUUUGUCGGCGAAGUACAUGCACAAACUCUUCUUUAGUAAGGUUGCUCAUCUGUUUUAAGUCUUCCUCAUAAUCUUCAAUACCAAAAUUUAUAUCUGCCUCCACUCCUCUAAACUUGAUAGCUGCCCUAUCGUAUGCACGAGCAGCUGCAUGUGCAGUGUCAAAUCCACCUAGAUAGACUUGCUUCCCACAAUCCCAUAUAUGAGACUCCCAGCGGCCGGUCCUCCGGUAGUAGGUGACACCGCGAUACUGAGAGCUUCUCGACCGGGGUCCGCGCCGGCUCUUUUUUAACGGUUGCGAGACCUCAACGGAUUUCGGAGAAGCAAGUGACUCCGACUGGNCUCCGACUGGCAAAACUUGCCUCCGCCCCAGUGAGCCCGAGGAAAUCCAGCUCCACUACCUCCUCCUCCACCGCUACCACUGCCACCAGAUGUUGCCCCCAUUUCUUGGUCCUCAACCGGAAAGAACUGCCGGGUCACAGGUGGGUCACUCUCCAUGGAGUCAUCAUGGGCGACAGAGAACCCGAAUAUCUUGCUAGUACGCUGCUAGUACGCUUCUUGAUUCUACCCCUCUCACCACUACCAUCUUCUUCGGAUCCAUCCUCGAUUACCACAGCAGAGGAGCUAGAAUUAGACACAGAUCCGACGCGUUUUCC